AGAGUUUGAUCCUGGCUCAGGAUGAACGCUAGCGGCAGGCUUAACACAUGCAAGUCGAGGGGCAGCACGGGUAGCAAUACUUGGUGGCGACCGGCGCACGGGUGAGUAACGCGUAUGCAACCUACCUUUAACUGGGGAAUAGCCCAGGGAAACUUGGAUUAAUACCCCAUAAUACAUUAGAAUCGCAUGAUUUDDAUGUUAAAGUUCCGGCGGUUAAAGAUGGGCAUGCGUGCCAUUAGAUAGUUGGUGAGGUAACGGCUCACCAAGUCUUCGAUGGCUACGGGGUCUUAAAGGAUGAUCCCGCACACUGGUACUGAGACACGGACCAGACUCCUACGGGAGGCAGCAGUGAGGAAUAUUGGUCAAUGGGGGCAACCCUGAACCAGCCAUGCCGCGUGCAGGAAGACGGCCCUAUGGGUUGUAAACUGCUUUUCUACGGGAAUAAUGGGUUCUACGUGUAGAGCUAUGAAGGUACCGUAGGAAUAAGCAUCGGCUAACUCCGUGCCAGCAGCCGCGGUAAUACGGAGGAUGCAGGCGUUAUCCGGAUUUAUUAGGUUUAAAGGGUGCGCAGGCGGCGCACUAAGUCAGUGGUGAAAGUUUGCAGCUUAACUGUAAAAUUGCCAUUGAUACUGGUAUGCUUGAAUAUGGUAGAGGUAGGCGGAAUGUGUAGUGUAGCGGUGAAAUGCUUAGAUAUUACACAGAACACCCAUUGCGAAGGCAGCUUACUAUGCCAUUAUUGACGCUGAGGCACGAAAGCGUGGGGAGCGAACAGGAUUAGAUACCCUGGUAGUCC
rnacentral:rRNA from 1 species